rnacentral:rRNA from 1 species
UACAAAGGUCUCAAGCGUUGUUCGGAUUCAUUGGGCGUAAAGGGUGCGUAGGCGGCGCGGUAAGUCGGGUGUGAAAUCUCGGAGCUUAACUCCGAAACUGCAUUCGAUACUGCCGUGCUUGAGGACUGGAGAGGAGACUGGAAUUUACGGUGUAGCGGUGAAAUGCGUAGAUAUCGUAAGGAAGACCAGUGGCGAAGGCGGGUCUCUGGACAGUUCCUGACGCUGAGGCACGAAGGCCAGGGGAGCAAACGGG